UUCGCAACCCGACGGUUUGAAUAAGUGUACUACUACUACUAUACACAUAGUGUCCUACGGGAGACACUUAUGCAACUGCAGACAGCUGCUUAAUACAGUCACACUUGUCUUGACUUUGCACUAUAUACGAAAUAUAUUUGUAUAUUACUACUAUAUACUUAUAUAUGACUACCCUAUUAUUAUUCCAAUAUUCUUGGAUAACUAAGGGAAAGUUUGGCUAAUACGUACGAAAUAUAUACUACUACUACUCUACUCUAUUUCAACGCGCUUACUAGCGUAGGUAUCCUUGGGGUAUUGGUUCAUACCUUUGCUCUAUACAGGGUCCUACAUCACUUGCAUAAAUGAUAUAUAGUAAGUACGCGUAAGGGUACUUCGGUACCUUAUAAGCUGAGCUGACUUGCAAGGUCUAUACCUAAGCAAGCGGGUCAUACAAGCUUCUAUAGCAUCAAGUCAUCUGGUGGCAAGUGUACUAUUGAACUAUCAAAGCAAUUACGCUUACGGAAGAGAGUUUCUGAUCCCAUAUAAGGAGCACAGUACAAUGAGAGACCGCUCUUAKUUCUAAGGAACGCAGCAGGCGCGUAAAUUGCCCAAUGCUAGUCCCCUUUAUUCAAUACUGUUUACUAUACUAUACUAUUAUAUACCUUGUAAACUGUUACUCAUUAUAUUCUACUGAGGCAGUGACAAGCUGUAACGAUUGGACUUUGAAUAUAUACACUUGCCUUGACGUGGCAUUGCAGUCUCGCAAGGGGCUUUGCAGAGCCCGUCGGCUAAGUACUGAAGUCAAUUGUAAUGCGGUGAGUUUAACCUAUUCAGUAACGCUGGCAUUCAUGGCUCGUAAGGGUCAUAGUGUCGGAUAUCUGAAGUCAAGUGGAGGGCAAGUCUGGAGCCAGCAGCCGCGGUAAUACCAGCUCCACUGGCCUAUACAACCAUUGUUGCGGYUAAGAGGCUCGUAGUUGGAUUGAACACUAUAUUNUAUACUAUAUAUAUUACUACUACUACUGUAAUAUAUUAUAUGACACUUUACAACACUGUGAAUAAAUCAGAGUGCCUCAGACAUGUCUGUUACUGUGCACUGUAUGAUUCAUCAUGGAAUGUUGCCUCUACUAUAUACUAUACUACUACUAUGUGUAUUGUUAUAUUAUUAUGUGUCGAUGAGGGUAGUUGGAGUCAAGAGUACUGCCGGGCGAGCGGUGAAAUGCGUUGACCCUGGUAAGACUACCUGUAGCGAAAGCGCUUGACUAGGCUAUACCUUUUGUGACCCUAUAUAUACUAUUAUAUGUUAUUAGGGCAUACCCUUAUACAAUGAAGAACGAAGGUUGGGGGUUCAAAGAGGAUUAGAUACCCUCGUCGUCCCAUUUGUUACAUCAAACGAUGGGCUCUCAGUCGUAGUACUUCGGUACUAUUUAGACUAUUGGUACAUUACCCCUAAGUACCUGCAAAGUAUAUUUAGACUUGUAGUUAACUUCGGUUGACUCGUCUUUUGUUACUAAGCAUUUAGUGUCUUAUGGGACAUUUGUUACUACUGUCGUUAAGCUUGACUUAUUUCAUUAUAAGUUGACCUACUUGAAUGUUGGAGCUUUGAGCACCUCUUUUAAGAUGUAAGCUACAAUAUACCCUUACAUGCUAUACUUUGAUAAGCGCUUCCUGUGUCUUUCUCAAGGUGCAAGGGCCUUAGACUAAGUUGGCACAGUCUAUAUUAUACUCAUAUGUAUGUGUAGUACUGCAGGGUUACAUUGUACGCUUUAGGCACGCGCUUACUGCAGAAAUGUAUAAGACAUUCCCCUCCGGGGGUAGUAUGCACGCAAGUGUGAAACUUGAAGGAAUUGACGGAAGGGCACCACAAGAACGCGUGGAGCAUGUGGCAUAAUUUGACUCAACGCGGGAAACCUUACCGGGUCCGGACAUACUGAGGAUUGACAGGCAAAUAAUAGUUAUACUUUUUGUAUAGCUUACUUACCAAAUAUGUAAGUCCUUUCAUGAUUGUGUGAUAGGUGGUGCAUGGCCGUUCUUAGUUCGUGGAGUGAUCUGUCUGCUUAAUUGCGUUUCAGAUAUAUGGGGUUCUAAGGUAUUACGACGUAAGGUGCUUCGGUACACUUGCUUAGUAGCCUGCCCCUUUGAAAGCAACGAACGUGACCUCAAACCUAUGUUACCUCUUUUUAUUAUAGAGGCUAUCUUAGGUGACUGCCAGAGUUGUCAACUCGGAGGAAGGUUGAGGCAAUAACAGGUCUGUGAUGCCCUUAGAUGUUCCGGGCUGCACACGUGCUACAAUGAUUGUUGCAGUAAGAUAUCUGACUGCUCUUAUACUGUGUUUGUACUUCGGUACAUCAACACAGUGGGUUUUUACCCUUCGGGGUAUUACUCAUAGACCUACCUCGAAAGUACGGUAGGCAAUCAAUUCCAAGUAACAAUCUACCUAUUUUAUAGGAAAGCACAAGCCUAAAGACUUUGUUUGUAAUUGCUUCGGCUUUUGCAACUUGGUCGUGCUCUAAUUGAAUUCGUGGUCGGGACAGACCAUUGUGCUUAAUUAUUGGUCUCGGUCUCAACUAGGAAUGCCUUGUACGGGUCUUUGGUUCAACAUACCACCCGGAAUACGUCCCUGCCCUUUGUACACACCGCCCGUCGCUCUUACCGAUGGACUACUCUGUGAGUUGGAGGGACUGGCCAUCCAUAUAUGCUUCUUCGGAUGUGUAUAGGCUAUAGAAACUCCUGCGAACAGUGUGGUCUAAAGGAAAGAGAAGUCGUAACAAGGCAUCG
rnacentral:rRNA from 1 species